UAUAUUGGUUCAUAUCAAGAAUUCAGAUUCAAUAAUUGAUCAUGCUUUUAUCAUAAGGAUAAUAAUCAACAUAUAUAUUAUCAAGAAGCAUGAUCCAAUUCAUAUUAACAAAUCAAAUAUUUAUAAUAUUUCUCAUGCAUAUGGAAAAUUAUCCACUCACCUGACUCAAAAGCAAACAACACUCACAAGCUGAAACCGAAGGAAAUUCUACUGACGUCCUGCCGGUAGAAUAUCAGGAUUAUCUGAAUACAAAGGAGACAUAUUCAAGAACGACUCGAAAGAACAUUUAACCUAUUUAAUACACUUAACUAAGGGUGUAUUCCGUAACCAUAUAUAUUAUAGUCAAUUUUCUUAAAAACCCAAAAUCUAACGGUUUUCCCGAAAUCCAAUCCAUAAUAAAAACAACUAAUAAAAUUGGUAAUAAUUCACUAAAUAACCCUUAAUUAUUCAUCAAACUAAUCUGAAAAAGCUAAUAUUACAGCUAGGGACUAAUCUGGAAUUUUUCCAUAUUUUUAGGGCCAAAUUGUAACUUUUGUCAAAUGGAGGACCAAACUGAAAUUUGUCAUAAAUCCAUGAAUAUACUGAAAUUCUGACCUUAAUUAAUCCUCAAUUCUGUCCAGGAUGUAUCAUUAUGCUUCAGGGAUCAUUCUGGAAUUUUACUAAAUUUUUAGGGUCAAAUCGUACUUUUUGUCAAAUUGGAGGACUAAAUUGAAAGUGUUAAAUUAUCUUAUCUAUACAGUAAUUAUGUCCAUAAUUCAUAUGUUUUCUGUUCAGAAUCUCGGAAUAUGCUCCAGGGACCAAUUUGUAAUUUUCCAAAGUUCGGGGACUAAACUGUAAUUUUCGGAAAUUGAGGGACCAAAUUGAAUUUUCGUCAUCUUCAACCUCCAGUCCAGAUUUUAACAGAACCUACUGUUCUCCCCUGAUUUCUAACAAAAUUCACCAUUCAAAAAAACAAUAUACAAAAUCAUCAUAAUCUUCCAUAAUCAACUAAUCAUCAAUUAACACAACAAUCAACCCCUAACCUUCAAUUUAAUUUAUCAAUUAAACCCAAAACACAAAUUCUCAAAACCCUAACAUUCAUAAAAACUGAAAUUAAAGCUUAAUUAACAUAUUAUACACAUUAAACAACCUAAAUCUUACCUUUUUCACUUAUUUCCUCCAAAUCUCUUCCUUUUUCCCUUAUUUUCCCUUCUUUUCUCUUCUUCUUCUUCCUCCCUCUUCUCUCUCACGGUUCUGCUCUCUAAUAAUUCAGAUCACACUUUUUU
rnacentral:lncRNA from 1 species